rnacentral:rRNA from 1 species
UACGUACCGUACGAACGUUAUUCGGAAUUACUGGGCUUAAAGGGUUGUAGGCGGCCUUGUAAGUCAGGUGUGAAAUCCCUCGGCUCAACCGAGGAAUAGCGCUUGAUACUGCAAGGCUUGAGGGAGACAGGGGUAAGCGGAACUGAUGGUGGAGCGGUGAAAUGCGUUGAUAUCAUCAGGAACACCGGUGGCGAAAGCGGCUUACUGGGUCUCUUCUGACGCUGAGGAACGAAAGCUAGGGUAGCGAACGGG